CCUACGGGUGGCAGCAGUGAGGAAUAUUGGUCAAUGGACGAGAGUCUGAACCAGCCAAGUAGCGUGAAGGAUGACUGCCCUAUGGGUUGUAAACUUCUUUUAUAAAGGAAUAAAACGCGGCACGUGUGCCUUUUUGCAUGUACUUUAUGAAUAAGGAUCGGCUAACUCCGUGCCAGCAGCCGCGGUAAUACGGAGGAUCCGAGCGUUAUCCGGAGUUAUUUGGUUUAAAGGGAGCGUAGAUGGGUUGUUAAGUCAGGUGUGAAAGUUUGCGGCUCAACCGUAAAAUUGCAAUUGAUACUGGCAGUCUUGAGUACAGUUGGGGUAAGCGGAAUUCGUGGUGUAGCGGUGAAAUGCUUAGAUAUCACGAAGAACCCCGAUUGCGAAGGCAGCUUACUAAACUGUGACUGACAUUGAUGCUCGAAAGUGUGGGUAUCAAACAGGAUUAGAUACCCUUGUAGUC
rnacentral:rRNA from 1 species